AAAUUUGGCCUGAAGGAGCUUGAGUCCAGUGAUACAUUCCUUUUACUGUGGUCAAAUAAGCCUUUGCAAAAAUACCAGGGAUUCAUGCAAACCAAAAGCAAAGGAUGGUUCAACUAUUUACAAGUGGAGCCCAUCCUGAAGAAACAUCACAGAGUCUCUACAGAGAAAAGACCCAAUGAAACUUGGAUGUGCUGCCCAUGAGUCUUCUGAGCAGAAACCUCUUGCUUUGGCGGCACCAUCCCCUUCUACUUCUUGGUAGGGCUGCAAAGCUGAUGCUUUGUAUGACCAGUUUCUGCAGGUCAUUGAAAUCAAAUCCCCUUCAACACUUCCACAGCUGCUCUUCAGAGAAGAACUGGAUUUUAAUCUGAAGAUGUGAGCAUUUCUGACAGUGCUGAUCCUGUCAUGGCAGUGACUGCUCAGGGAAAGGAAGCAAUAAAAGCGGUUAAAAGCAAAAGCAC